UACGUAGGGUGCAAGCGUUGUCCGGAAUUAUUGGGCGUAAAGAGCUCGUAGGCGGUUUGUUGCGUCGGCUGUGAAAACCUGAGGCUCAACCUCAGGCCUGCAGUCGAUACGAGCAGACUAGAGUGUUGCAGGGGAGACUGGAAUUCCUGGUGUAGCGGUGAAAUGCGCAGAUAUCAGGAGGAACACCGGUGGCGAAGGCGGGUCUCUGGGGCAACAACUGACGCUGAGGAGCGAAAGCGUGGGGAGCGAACAGG
rnacentral:rRNA from 1 species